CGUAAUGUCUUUUGAGUGUAUUUCCAACACCCUGGGGUUCAAGAAACCAUACGAAAAAGCUAACAUUAGCUUUUGUGUUGCUGGUUGAGUGUUUGGAAUGACAAAUUAU